UUGGGAUGCAAUCAGCAAUGAAUUUUAGUCCCUAAAGUGCCUCAGCGGGUGAAGAUGUGAUUGUGGAAUAAAGAGAGCCAUGGAAAUUCAAAAUGAUGAACAGCUCAACAAAAACUUACAAUCUACUGGCAUUAUGAAGAAUAUCAGAAUAUUAUUAAUUGUGAUGUUUGGACAUCCAUGAUGACUAUGAUAACUAUGAUAACUAGAUAACCAUAGUGGCAAAACUGAAACCCCCGAAGUGAGAAGUUUGAAAGAGGACAUCCAGUGUUGCAAAUUGGUAGUGUGUACUGAGAUGGAGGCAGAAGAAGAAAAGAAAGAGCUUGUUUGGAGAGGUGGUGCACUGGAACAGAAGGACAUAUAACUCUGUGAGGAGAGUAAUUCAGAGUGCCUCUUGUGGAGUAAAGCU
rnacentral:lncRNA from 1 species